UGCGUAGGUGGUGAGGUAAGUCGGAUGUGAAAUCUCGGAGCUCAACUCCGAAACGGCAUUGGAAACUACCUCGCUCGAGGAAUGGAGGGGGGACUGGAAUUCUCGGUGUAGCAGUGAAAUGCGUAGAUAUCGAGAGGAACACCAGUGGCGAAGGCGAGUCCCUGGACAUCUCCUGACACUGAGGCACGAAAGCUAGGGGAGCAAACA
rnacentral:rRNA from 1 species